rnacentral:rRNA from 1 species
GGUUAAGUGACUAAGCGUAUAUGGUGGAUGCCUUGGCAGUUAGAGGCGAUGAAGGACGUGUUAAUCUGCGAUAAGCUGUGUUGAGUCGAUAAAAGACGUUAUAGACACAGAUUUCCGAAUGGGGAAACCCAAUGUCAUAAGACAUUAUCAUUAACUGAAUACAUAGGUUAAUGAGGCGAACCGGGAGAACUGAAACAUCUAAGUACCCCGAGGAAAAGAAAUCAACCGAGAUUUCGUUAGUAGCGGCGAGCGAACGCGAAUUAGCCCUUAAGCGUAUGGGCGUCAGUGGAACAAGCUGGAAAGCUUGGCGAUACAGGGUGAUAGCCCCGUACACGAAGACAAACAUAUUGUGAAAACGAGUAGGUCGGCACACGUGAAAUGUUGACUGAAUAUGGGGGGACCAUCCUCCAAGGCUAAAUACUCCUAACUGACCGAUAGUGAACCAGUACCGUGAGGGAAAGGCGAAAAGAACCCCUGUGAGGGGAGUGAAAUAGAACCUGAAACCGUAUACGUACAAGCAGUGGAAGCCUUCGGGUGACUGCGUACCUUUUGUAUAAUGGGUCAGCGACUUAUUUUUAGUAGCAAGGUUAACCGAUUAGGGGAGCCGUAGCGAAAGCGAGUGUUAACUGCGCGUUCAGUUGCUAGGAAUAGACCCGAAACCCGGCGAUCUACCCAUGGGCAGGUUGAAGGUUGAGUAACAUCAACUGGAGGACCGAACACACGUAUGUUGAAAAAUGCGGUGAUGACUUGUGGGUCGGAGUGAAAGGCUAAUCAAGCCGGGAGAUAGCUGGUUCUCCCCGAAAUCUAUUUAGGUAGAGCCUCGCACGAACACCAUUGGGGGUAGAGCACUGUUAAGGCUAGGGGGUCAUCCCGACUUACCAACCCUUUGCAAACUCCGAAUACCAAUGAGUGAUAUGCGGGAGACACACUAUGGGUGCUAACGUCCAUAGUGAAGAGGGAAACAACCCAGACCGCCAGCUAAGGUCCCAAAGUCAUAGUUAAGUGGGAAACGAUGUGGAAAGGCAUAGACAGCUAGGAGGUUGGCUUAGAAGCAGCCAUCCUUUAAAGAAAGCGUAAUAGCUCACUAGUCGAGUCGGUCUGCGCGGAAGAUGUAACGGGGCUAAACUAUGCACCGAAGCUGCGGAUUUAAUCUUAGGAUUAAGUGGUAGGGGAGCGUUCUGUAAGCCGUUGAAGGUGUGUUGUAAGGCAUGCUGGAGGUAUCAGAAGUGCGAAUGCUGACAUGAGUAACGAUAAUGGGAGUGAAAAACUCCCACGCCGAAAGACCAAGGUUUCCUGUCCCAUGUUAAUCAGGGCAGGGUAAGUCGGCCCCUAAGGCGAGGCCGAAAGGCGUAGUCGAUGGGAAACAGAUUAAUAUUUCUGUACUUCUAUAUAUUGCGAAGGAGGGACGGAGCAGGCUAAGCAGGCAUGGCGUUGGUAGUCCAUGUGAAAGAUAGUAGGUUGGAAACUUAGGUAAAUCCGGGUUUCCUUAAGACUGAGAAUCGAGACGAUACUCUACGGAGUAGAAGCUGUUGAUGCCAUACUUCCAGGAAAAGCUUCUAAGCAUCAGAUAUAUAGGAACCGUACCCCAAACCGACACAGGUGGUUAGGUAGAGAAUACUAAGGCGCUUGAGAGAACUCGGGUGAAGGAACUAGGCAAAAUAGUACCGUAACUUCGGGAGAAGGUACGCUGUCGACGGUGAUGAGACUUGCUCUCUAAGCUGUUGACAGUCGAAGUAACCAGGUGGCUGGAACUGUUUAUUAAAAACACAGCACUGUGCAAAAUCGAAAGAUGACGUAUACGGUGUGACGCCUGCCCGGUGCCGGAAGGUUAAUUGAUUGGGUUAGCUCUGCGAAGCUCAUGAUCGAAGCCCCGGUAAACGGCGGCCGUAACUAUAACGGUCCUAAGGUAGCGAAAUUCCUUGUCGGGUAAGUUCCGACCUGCACGAAUGGCGUAAUCAUGGCCACACUGUCUCCACCCGAGACUCAGUGAAAUUGAAUUUGCGGUUAAGAUGCCGUAUACCCGCGGCUAGACGGAAAGACCCCGUGAACCUUUACUAUAGCUUGACAGUGAACAUUGCUCCUACAUGUGUAGGAUAGGUGGGAGGCUUUGAAGCAUGCACGCCAGUGUGUGUGGAGCCAA